rnacentral:miRNA from 1 species
GCAUUUGAUGAUGAGUGAAGUACUUGGAAGUUUCCUUACUGCCCUCGGCUUCUUUACAGUGCUGCCUUGUUGCAUAUGGAUCAAGCAGCAUUGUACAGGGCUAUGAGGGCACUGAGACUUGCUCUUCA